UUAAGUGGUAAAUAUUUAAGUGAGUUGGGAGGCAAAUGAAUUAACGUGAGAAAUUUUAGGGGCAUAAUUUCCAGAUGUGGACCCAAUAUGGAUUGGUUACAUUUUCAGAUUUAGUGUACAAGCUAAAUGUUUGGCAUGUGUAUUAUUUUAUUCACAUGGAAAGGCCAAGUGUACAGGUGGUAUAUAACGUGUUUCUCUAGAGUGCAAUCAGCCCAAUUAGGCAAACCAUUUGUUACUUAGGAGAAAACUAAUAUUGAAAGAACUAAGAACAUUUUCCGACAACUUUAUUUUAUUUUUCUGUUUGGGGGCAGCAACGUUCUAUCAACCUUUAUACCCUUAGAGAAGUGCAAAACAUUUCUAUCAACUCUUAUAAUCCUUGAAUAAACCCCUUAGUAGCAGAUGCUCAUGGAUGUAGUGCAUUUGGAGCUCUUAGUAACUUCAUCCUUUAUAAAGAAAAGUUGUAAUUUCCAGCAAGAAUUUUAAGAGGUCAAGUUUGCUAGUAAGGCUUUCCUUCCAAUUAUUGAGGCUAAAGGGGCGACGAGGCGAAAAGGAUUCAUGAAUAGUCGCUGACAGGUACAUAUGCACAGUUUGGUGAUCCACCAGUUUAGGACACCCUCUUCUGCUGUUUGGAGUGCUCUUCUCAUUUCAGAGCAUAUAUUUUGGUAUAUAUUCGUUCGCCGUGUAUGUAUAUAUUUGUUCAGGGGUACGGCGGGGCCCUGUUCCGCAAUAUGAUCCGUUUGGUCUGUUUAGAGGUCUGUAGACGUAUUUGUGGGUGUGUGCGUCUACUUCUGUACAGAUGUGUUUGUAUGACCCUGUUCGUUAUGACAGCCUUGUCGGCGUGCACUUUGUAUAUGUUUUGGGCCGUUGUGCCAUUUGAUAGCCUUGUCGGCUUUUGAUACAUUUGAUAGCCUUGUCAGCUUUUGAUACAUUUGAUAGCCUUGCCGGCUUUUUGAUAUAUAUAUAUGUCCGCAUAUGAUUGCGUUGAAAUGUGUUCGAUACAGUUUGAUAUAGUUUGAGACGACAUAUAAUAUUUGUGGCCGUAUAUGCUAUUUGGAUGUGA